rnacentral:rRNA from 1 species
CCCUUAGAUGUUCUGGGCCGCACGCGUGCUACACUGAGUAAUUCAAUGGGUAAGGGAACGCUAGAGCAUUACCUAAUCUUGAAAUUUGCUCGUGAUGGGGAUCGACGGUUGCAAUUUUCCGUCGUGAACGAGGAAUACCUUGUAGGCGCAUGUCAUCAUCAUGCGCCGAAUACGUCCCUGCCCUUUGUACACACCGCCCGUCGCUCCUACCGAUUGAGCGAUCCGGUGAGGCUCUGGGACCUGGACGGAAAGAGCGUUUCGCUUGUUCUGUUUGGGAAACUUGGUCGAACCUUAUCAUUUAGAGGAAGGAGAAGUCGUAACA